GACCUGGCUGGGCGGUCCGCCUCACGGUGUGUACUGUCUGGCCGGGCCUUACCUCUUGGUGAGCCGGCAUGCCCUUUACUGGGUGUGCCGGGGAACCAGGACCUUUACCUUGAGAAAAUUAGAGUGUUCAAAGCAGGCCUAUGCCUGAAUACGUUAGCAUGGAAUAAUAAAAUAGGACGU
rnacentral:rRNA from 1 species